UACAGAGGUCUCAAGCGUUGUUCGGAUUCAUUGGGCGUAAAGGGUGCGUAGGCGGCGCGGUAAGUCGGGUGUGAAAUCUUGGAGCUUAACUCCGAAGCUGCAUUCGAUACUGCCGUGCUUGAGGACUGGAGAGGAGACUGGAAUUUACGGUGUAGCGGUGAAAUGCGUAGAUAUCGUAAGGAAGACCGGUGGCGAAGGCGGGUCUCUGGACAGUACCUGACGCUGAGGCACGAAAGCCAGGGGAGCAAACGGG
rnacentral:rRNA from 1 species